GGGGGAAAGCCCGGCCUCAAUGGGGCAGGGUGCCAGGAACCGCCGGGGGGGAAACCCCACGCCCAGUGCAACAGAGAGCAAACCGCCGAUGGCCCGCGCAAGCGGGAUCAGGUAAGGGUGAAAGGGUGCGGUAAGAGCGCACCGCGCGGCUGGUAACAGUCCGUGGCACGGUAAACUCCACCCGGAGCAAGGCCAAAUAGGGGUUCAUAAGGUACGGCCCGUACUGAACCCGGGUAGGCUGCUUGAGCCAGUGAGCGAUUGCUGGCCUAGAUGAAU
rnacentral:RNase_P_RNA from 1 species